GGAUUUCUAAGCACUACGUACAUCCAUCCUGUCAUCACGCAGAGACUUACGAAGUAUUUACGACUAGAAACUAUGGGUGUCUGUUUGGAGCUGGAAGCAGACUGAUGGUAGCAAGAGGUAGAACCAAAUUGCCGUACAGCCAAUUAGUUAUGCGGUGAAAACGUUUGCGGCGAAAUGCUUUGGGACAGCGAUGUCUAUGGUGGAGAUGGUCACAGUAGGAACACCAGACAUGAUCUUCAUCAUCCACACACUCUGGAAUCCUCACCACUACUCCGGAUAUGUUCUUUCCAAGGUUAUAAGACUCAGUCCACACUGCCAAAUCGAAUAGUUAUUUUUUGGCCCUCAUCCUGCUCCACCUUUCAGCAUCCCACCCUGCUUUCCACACGCUUGUUCGUGACAUUUUCUGUAGUGUCUCCAGCCUCUCAUUCUCCAGUUCCUUUUCCUUUAGUGCCUCAAUGAUUUAAUGCCUCAGGGCUCGGCCUGGCAUCUCCUUUCCCAACUCUCUGUUCAUUCCUAUGACCUUAAAUAUAUAUUAAAAAUGCGCAAAUAUAGAUCCCAGUCCAACCUUC